CAGUAGCCACGGGAAUACAGAGGGUGCAAGCGUUAAUCGGAAUUACUGGGCGUAAAGCGCGCGUAGGUGGUUUGUUAAGUUGGAUGUGAAAGCCCCGGGCUCAACCUGGGAACUGCAUCCAAAACUGGCAAGCUAGAGUACGGUAGAGGGUGGUGGAAUUUCCUGUGUAGCGGUGAAAUGCGUAGAUAUAGGAAGGAACACCAGUGGCGAAGGCGACCACCUGGACUGAUACUGACACUGAGGUGCGAAAGCGUGGGGAGCAAACAGGAUUAGAUACCCGCGUAGUCCCUGUCUCUUAUAA
rnacentral:rRNA from 1 species